AAUACAUUUCACUUUAUAAUAAAUAGUGAGUAAACAAAAAUAAGUUAUGUUUUAACGUGGAGGUGGUAGCAGCCGCUCUCUCCUCCCACCUGAGGAGCAAAGAGCAUUUGUCCAGCUCAUACUGGGAGACGUUUGGAAUUUCCAGUAAUGCUGCAUCUUCCUACUUCUGCUUCUUUUGUCUUUUCUUUUUUUUUUUUUAGUUUUUAAUUGGGGGAUAAUUGCUUUACAACGUUGCAUCAAUUCCUGCUGUGCACCCACGUGAAUGGGCUGUGCGAGCACAUAUACAGCCGCCCCCCUCCCCCUCCCCGCCCGCUCGGUCAUCUCAGAGCGCCGGGCAGGGCUGCUGCGCGGGAUGGGCAGCAGUGUCCCGCUCGCUAUCUAUGCCACACAUGGCAGUGUGUGUGUGUGUCGAGGCUGCUCUCUCAGUUCCUUUUCCUCUCAAAAACCAUUACAACUGAGUCAGCCUCCUGGCCCUGCUGGCUCCGUUCUGGGGCCAACCGUGGCUCCAAAGAACACGUGGUGGGAGAGCCAAGAAUCACAGGAUUUGAGAGCUGGAAGGGGCCUCCGAAACCAUCUCGUGCAACAGUUAUUUAUCCUGUCGUCGGCUGGACAAGCAAGAAGAGUGCGGCAGAGCACCCCAGCUUGCCAUAACAAGCCACUGGGGAAGCACAGGACAGGGAGGACGUGGUUUCGCAGCAACGCGUGUGAGGACAGGGAAGCCUGGCGUGCUGCAGACCAUGGGGUCACAAAGAGUCGGACAUGACUGAGUGACUGGACAACAAGGGACUCACAGGGAGGUGGUACUCUCUGUGGAAGGCAGUCCAACAUUCAAAAUCAUAGUUGCAAAAGGAGAAUGAAGAAAGUUAAAAGGAACACCCAGCAAGGAGGAGCUAGGGCGUGAGGGGAGAACAGUGAAAGAGAGGCAUUUCAUGAAGCAGUGGGACAAUGAGCGAUGUCGUCUAGUGACCGGGUGCCCUUCCCAGGACGAUCCAGUAUUCUAUCUGUGUCUUGCCUGACAUGUUCCAGCAAAAGUGCAUGGUGCCUGCCCGAGCCCUUCCCUGGGUCCCCGGCUGACAGCACCAUGUUGCUCCUCCCUAGAUGCAUUACCCAGGUUUGCCCCAGUGAAGCUCAUUUGCCACUUUCCUGCCCAGGCGCUAAGCCUUGAAGACCUCCCGUCGUUCAUCUCCAUUGGCCUGACGUACCACCACCCAGGAAGGUCCAAGGCCAAGUGCCGAGUCGCUGACUUCACUGGGCAGUCUUCUUCCAGACUGUUUGCAAAAGCAUCACAAGGGACCGUUUCCAGGGCUCCUCGUCGGGGUCCCGCCAGUUGAACUGCUCCUGCCAGAGUUGCUUCUUCAUUACUGUUCUUUUCUCCCUGUCUCUAAGUCAUUUUCUCAUUCAUUAAAAAGAAAAAAAAAAAAAAAAAAA